UGGCGCGUAGCUCAAUGGGAAGAGCGCCGGUGUUACAUACCGGGUGUUGUCGGUUCGAGUCCGACCGGGCCAACCA
rnacentral:tRNA from 1 species